CUCUUUAUUGUGACCAUUUGGGAUGCUCCUGAUUUGUCUUCAUUGGCAAUAACAUCAAAGUGCACUUUGCCUUUGCUCUUACUCUUGGUUCUCAGCCUCUGGUCCCAGGAUCUUCACCAGAAGAACUUCACUAAUAUCUCCCCUCCACUCCUUCCCUUCCUGGGCAGGGAGAGGGGAAAGAGGAAAGUUCAGGAUCAGUUCAAAUCUCUGGUAAAAGAGAGGAGCUGUGAACAUCUUGGGGCUCCAUCACUCCUUCCUGCUGCCAGAGCCAGCACCACGAAUGCUUUCAGAGGGAGGUUCCAUCCUCUCCCUGGUCAUCCAAGAGCUUUGGGACUCUGGGAAUAGCUUGGCUUCCUCAGCAAAGCAGCAGUCACUCAUCCAAGCUCCCUCCACCAUCACUGGCUGUGGCCAUCCCUGUGCUGGUGCUUGUUCCCUUUUUGGAGCUGCAUGGAGCUGUCCCCUGGCCCUGGCAUGCAAAGCAGGCUGGUCAGGGAAGAGGGAUGGAGUUAGGAUUUCCCAUGCUUGGGAAAGCUGGAACAUCUGCCUUGCCUCACUUUACAAGUCUAUAAAAUGUACGUGAUGCUAAAUUCCUGUUUUAGGAGAAUUCUGUCAGAACCUUGUCCAAAAAUGGAAGAGUUUGAGCAAAGACACUCCUUGAACACAGACAAUUGCUACACUUUCAUAAAUCCAUCCCAUGGGAGGAAGAGCAGGAGUUUUCUCCUUGCCCUUAGGAGAGGCUGGGAUUGCUGGGUUUGACCUGUGACACCUGAGCAUUAACACUCCUGAGCAGCCACUGCCAGCAGAAACCACAGCUGGCAACAGCAAUGAAAGUCAUUAAAAAUAUAAUAAAAAUUUACAACAACAAAAGCGAGGUGGAAAGCACAGCAACCAUGUGAAAGGCAGGCAUAAAAAUCCCUUUCAAAUCCUGGGUAGAGCUGAGUUAUCCCACAUCUCCCUUCAGCAGAAGGAUGUGGCUGGCUCGAAAUUUGAAUUGUUCAAAGAGAUUUUUAACCAGACAAAAUGAAAGUGUUAUAGAUGUAAACACAGUGGUAUCUGUUGCUGGAGGGGAAGUAAACUGAUUAUUUACAAGCUGUCCUGCUUUGCAGUUAUCCUUUUCAAACAGAUCCCCUGGGAAUCCCAGGCAUUCCUUUUUUUAUUUUUUUUCCUUGCCAUCCUCAUCUACACCUACGAUAUCUGGGGCUACCACUGGCAGGAGGAGACUUCCAAAAAACUAAAUUCCAUUUCUCCACAUUGCAAUUAUGCUUCCAGCAGAUUUUUGGGGCAAAUCUAUUAUUCCAACUGCACAACCAGCCUACCUUUGCAAUGUGGGAGGUGGGAGGACAGAGUUAACAAACCUAAACCAGCUCUGAGCAGCCACCAGCCCAAACAGCCUUUUUCCGCCCGUAUUCCGCGCUUCAAAAGAAGGUGGAAAAAUUGGGCAGAUAGAAAAUGUUUUUCUGUCUCUUUCAUGUCUCCCUCAUGUACUUUGUAGUUUGAGACCAGCUUAGGCUCCUGAAGUCCUGAAGUGUGCAGCUUAAUUCUUCUCCUAAAAUCUCUUUGCAUAUUCC
ensembl:lncRNA